rnacentral:rRNA from 1 species
UACGAAGGGGGCGAGCGUUGUUCGGAUUUACUGGGCGUAAAGGGCGCGCAGGCGGCUAUCCAAGUCAGGCGUGAAAGCCCCGGGCUUAACCUGGGAGGUGCGUCUGGGACUGGGUGGCUAGAGUUCGGGAGAGGAGAGUGGAAUUCCCAGUGUAGAGGUGAAAUUCGUAGAUAUUAGGAAGAACACCAGUGGCGAAGGCGGCUCACUGGCCCGGUACUGACGCUGAGGCGCGAAAGCGUGGGGAGCAAACAGG